rnacentral:rRNA from 1 species
UUAAAUUGAAGAGUUUGAUCAUGGCUCAGAUUGAACGCUGGCGGCAGGCCUAACACAUGCAAGUCGAACGGUAACAGGAAGAACCUUGCUUCUUUGCUGACGAGUGGCGGACGGGUGAGUAAUGUCUGGGAAACUGCCUGAUGGAGGGGGAUAACUACUG